CGCCGCGUGGGUGACGAAGGUCUUCGGAUUGUAAAGCCCUUUUCUGAGGGAAGAUGAUGACGGUACCUCAGGAAGAAGCACCGGCUAACUACGUGC
rnacentral:rRNA from 1 species